CUCUCUCUCUGUCUCUCUUUCGCUCUCUAUUAAAAGCAACAAAGUAUUACGAUAUGUAUAUACGAUAUACAAUAUUUAUAUUGAUACGUGAUCGAUAUACAAUCGAACACGACUAAUUAACGAAGAACUAGUUAAUUAGAGCAUUGUUAAAAGAUCAGGGAAGUAUCGAUAUCGCGAAAAUAAUGCUGGAAAAUCCGAGAAAUAAAUAUGACGUUAUAGCCUCACAAAAGAAGCCAAAAAAAGCCGAUUUUAUUUUCGUGGAUAUUUUUUAAACAAGAUGAUGUCAGGACUUCUGAACGUACAUACGUGGAAAUCGCAUUUUGGGAAAUCGAUUAAUACAUAAAAUAAAGAUGUUGCGUCAUUCGUUUAAUAUCAACAAGAAUGACCAUUGGAAGGAUACGUGUUACCAUGUCAGUUUCCUCUCGUACUCCGAGCACAACACAUCGAAAUGUACUCUUUCCAUACCACUAGAUUCAAUCAUAUUAUAGAUAUGAUAAUUUCAUAAUUAUUUAAAUAAUGCACAAUGUACUCAAAGUACGAUGAGGUAAUAAUUAAACAGUAUUACAUUUCGAAAAGCAUCGAAUAGCUCUUAAGAGACAAGCUAUAUGUAUUUAAAAGAAGAUAGACUUACUUGUUACUUGGAUAGCUAAAAAAUAUUAGAUCUAUAUUAGUAGAGUUGAAAAUUAAUAAAAAUAUAGAUCGAAAUUAAUAGAGUAAUAGGAUGUAUCGAUAUGUGUAGAGAAGAUAUCUUUUAAACAAGACGAUGCCAUAAUUUGCUAACACUUACGUGUGGAAAUCGUAUUUCCGACAAUCGAUUGGUAUAUAAAAUUGGUGUGCAUGUUA